rnacentral:rRNA from 1 species
GACAGAGGGUGCAAACGUUGUUCGGAAUUACUGGGCGUAAAGCGCGUGUAGGCGGCCCUGCAAGUCGGGCGUGAAAUCCCACGGCUCAACCGUGGAAGUGCACUCGAAACUGCAGGGCUAGAGUCCUGGAGAGGAAGGCGGAAUGCUUGGUGUAGAGGUGAAAUGCGUAGAGAUCAGGCAGAACACCUGGGGCGAAGGCGGCCGGCUGGGCCGACCCUGACGCUGAGGCGCGAAGGCGUGGGGAGCGAACGGG